rnacentral:misc_RNA from 1 species
UCACGCCUUACGGCGGCAGUUUCACCAGAGUUCCCGGCAUGACCCGUUGGCAACUGGAAGCAGGGGUUGCGCUCGUUGCGGGACUUAACCCAACACCUCACGACACGAGCUGACGACAGCCAUGCAGCACCUGUGCAUGGACUCCGAAGAGGGCGCCUGGUUUCUCAGGCGUUUCCCAUGCAUGUCAAGCCUAGGUAAGGUUCUUCGCGUUGCGUCGAAUUAAACCACAUGCUCCACCGCUUGUGCGGGCCCCCGUCAAUUCCUUUGAGUUUCAGCCUUGCGGCCGUACUCCCCAGGCGGGGCACUUAAUGCGUUAGCGCCGGCCCUCGGGGGGUCGCUCCCCCAAGCGCCUAGUGCCCAUCGUUUACGGCGUGGACUAC